UACGGGGGGGGGCAAGCGUUGUUCGGAAUUACUGGGCGUAAAGGGCUCGUAGGUGGCCAACUAAGUCAGACGUGAAAUCCCUCGGCUUAACCGGGGACUGCGUCUGAUACUGGAUGGCUUGAGUGUGGGAGAGGGAUGCGGAAUUCCAGGUGUAGCGGUGAAAUGCGUAGAUACCUGGAGGAACACCGGUGGCGAAGGCGGCAUCCUGGACCAUUACUGACACUGAAUAGCGAAAGCCAGGGGAGCAAACGGG
rnacentral:rRNA from 1 species